AACGCACAUUGCACCCCUUGGUACUCCGGGGGGUAUGCCUGUUCGAGCGUCAUUAUGACCUCUCCAGCCUAGCUGGGUCUUAGGCCUCGCUAUGUGGCGGGUCUUAAAAGCAGUGGCGGUGCCUCUAGGCUCUGCGCGUAGUAAAUUGUCUCGCGAUAGGGCUCUAGGGGUCGCUAGCCAUCAACCUAAACUCUCAAGGUUGACCUCGGAUCAGGUAGGGAUACCCGCUGAACUUAA
rnacentral:misc_RNA from 1 species